UACAGAGGUCCCAAGCGUUGUUCGGAUUCAUUGGGCGUAAAGGGUGGCGUAGGUGGCGGGGUAAGGUUGGUAUGUGAAAAUCCUGGGGCUCAACCCUAGAACUGCAUUCAAUACUGCCUUGCUGGAGUACUGGAGAGGAGAUUGGAAUUUACGGUGUAGCAGUGAAAUGCGUAGAUAUCGUAAGGAAGACCGGUGGCGAAGGCGGAUCUCUGGACAGUUACUGACACUGAGGCACGAAGGCCAGGGGAGCAAACGGG
rnacentral:rRNA from 1 species